rnacentral:rRNA from 1 species
UACGUAGGUGGCAAGCGUUGUCCGGAUUUACUGGGCGUAAAGAGCGCGCAGGCGGUCGUCCAAGUCGCGUGUGAAAGCCCCCGGCUCAACUGGGGAGGGUCACGCGAUACUGGUCGACUCGAAGGCAGGAGAGGGUAGUGGAAUUCCCGGUGGUAGUGGUGAAAUGCGUAGAUAUCAGGAGGAACACCGGUGGCGAAGGCGGUUCUCUGGGCAUUACCUGACGCUGAGGAGCGAAAGUGUGGGGAGCGAACAGG